CUGGAGGAGUUGUAGGAGGAGUUUGGGUUUUUGAGGGUGAAGAGGGUGAUGGUGGUUUGUAGGGUGGUGGCGGGGAGGGUGGCGCAUGGCGCACUGCAGUGGUUUGACUGUGUAUUGUAUUUUAUAUAUCAAUUGCUUUAACUUUUGUUUGCAGAUGUCUCAACCACAACUAUAGUAGGACCUGGCCCAGUUAUAGACUUUCUCAAAUUGAUUGGUCAAAAAUUGAUAGGCAAAACGGAUACUGAAGAAUUUAAGGAUAAAAGCUCCUUCUUCAAACACAGAGUAUAGGAUUGUUGGUUUGAGUGAACUGCCACUGCAAACAUCAAUUGUGAUGAGACAUCCAGAGACUGGGACAAAGCAUGGUCAAGUUUCAGAAAUAAAGGGAAGAAAUCAGCAAUGAGAAAAAUUACCUCCCUCUAAUGC